rnacentral:rRNA from 1 species
GAGACUCUGUGCGCGUGCAUAUCAAUAAGCGGAGGAAAAGAAACUAACAAGGAUUCCCCUAGUAACGGCGAGUGAAGCGGGAAGAGCUCAAAUUUGAAAUCUUAAAGGGUUUCCCUUUACGAAUUGUAGUUUAAAGAAGUGUUUUCUGUUGGAGUUUCGGUGAAAGUUCUUUGGAAUAGGACAUCAUAGAGGGUGAGAAUCCCGUAUUUGACCGUUACUUUCCAGCUGUGUGAUACACUUUCAAAGAGUCGGAUUGUUUGGGAAUGCAGUCCAAAAUGGGUGGUAAAUUUCAUCUAAAGCUAAAUAUUGGCGAGAGACCGAUAGCGAACAAGUACCGUGAGGGAAAGAUGAAAAGAACUUUGAAAAGAGAGUUAAACAGUACGUGAAACUGUCAAAAGGGAAGCGUUUGACACCAGUGUUGUUUUUCCGAAAAUCAAUUACGAAUGUUUUGUUUUUGAGAAGUUAUGACUUCAUCGGCUUGCUUCUCUCUUUACGAAACUUUCUUAAUGCACCUUUCGGUUAACAAGUCAACAUCAAUUUCUUUUGUUGUAAAAGGGUAUGAGGAAGGGUGGCUUACUCUUCGGCGUAAAGUGUUUAUAGCCUUGUACCUCUGCAAUCGGAGAGAUUGAGGAUCUAGCAGCGUAGACUCCUUCGGGGUUAGAUACACUUGUGCUAAGCUAUAGCCUUUUCAUAGACAACUUGUUGACUAUGCUCUAGUCAUGUAGCUUACUCGCUUAUGCUAUUUUACCUACGCUUAGGAUGUUGAAGAUGUAGCACAUCAU